GGGAAUGGUAAAGUCCCGGUGGGCUUCGUGGUCUUCAAAAUCAUUGUCGGGUCGCUAAGAGCCGUCGUGGGUUCGACUCCCAUCCAUUCCCGC
rnacentral:tRNA from 2 species